GUCGCAGGCGGCAGGGCGACCGAACGCUCGCGGCUCUGCGGUGCGACUACGCUCGAGGAAAACAAGGAGGCUUGCCGGUUACCAGCAAGCAUUCGUGCCUCACGCAAUGCCAGCUGUUAAUCAUUCAUUAAAGCCUACAAUGCUGCCUAGACUACACUUUUGCCCCAUUAGGCAGUAGUGACGAAAUUCGUCGCAUCUUCGAAUGAAAUACUAAAAGGCAGAGGGCUACAUAAGGAAAGAGACAGAUGAAUAAAAAAACAUUACAAUAAAAGGAAAAUCCUAGACAUUGUCAUCGAAAAAUGGUGAUGUGUUUAUAACAUAAUUUUUCUACGUCUAUGGCGGACGU